CCUCUCUGCGCCCCUCUCCGCCCCGCCUCCCUCCUAGGUGAAGGAAGAUGAUUUCCCCCCCAUCUUGAUCACCCCCCAGUCUUCGCCGCCAAAAACGGACUCCGCCGGCUCUCCUCGGCCCGGUGCCAGUUGUUGGAUCCAAGAGAAUUCCGGAACCCAAACGGCUCGCUCAAAGCACUUUAUUGGCAGUGAAACCGCAAGUAACCCGGAGCCCUCGGCGCGACCACGGCUAGAAUCAGAGCCUAAGGCGUGUGAGCUCGGCCAUCCCACGUCUGUCUUCACGCUCACCCGCAAGUCCGACACACCGGGGCGCCCAGUUAAUGAAUACUGAAGAGUAGGGCUGUCCCUACCGCUUCUCACUUCCUUGUUUUCAUCUUUUCGUUAUUAUUAAGCGACCUAACACAAUAAACAUAUUACCUUGUUGGUAACCCUUUUGUAAAGUCAUUCUGAAAGUGCUGUUUGACUCCGUUGCUUGGGUAAUAAGCACGCCUGGGUGAUUCUUGCCCCCUACUGGCUGCGCAGCCUACAAGCGUAGUGCUGAAAGCAAACCAAGUAGCUGGAACAGUUGGAGGUUACAGUGUGAACUCUUCCAGAGAAAGUAUUCGGGGAAAGAAAGGAAAAAGUAGGCACAGAAAGAAUAGGAAACUUCAGUGUUUGUACACAUAGAUAUGUAUUAUAUAUCUAUGUAUACAUUUAUAAAUAUUUUUAAAGUGCUAACUAAUCGCUUUACUAAUUACAUUAUUUCAUUUA
rnacentral:lncRNA from 1 species